ACGCCAAGCCAAGGGCCCCACCAAGUCCCGAUUGAUGAGCAGCCGAGGCACUGAGCUCCGCACAGCCUCGGACAAGCUGGCAAAAGGCUCCACCUGAAAAAUGGCCCAAAUGUAAGCAUAGUGUCCACCCUAUGAGGCCCUCAAGAUGCUGUGCCACAGCCACUGAGGCUAUGGAGGGGCAGCAGACUGACGGUCAGACCCUGUGGUGCAGGGACGCCCACCACUACCCCACUUCUUCAGCCACAGCAAACAAUCUGCACAUCUGCACUGCCUUCCUUCCCAUCAGGCUGUCUCCGCCCAGUUUCAAGCCUCUUCCAGCUCUCCUCUGAUGGACAGUAUGCACUCGACUGUACCCUGGCUAGUGUCCACACGAGGGAAACCAUCAGCAUUAACGAGGCAGCAGAUCUCUGUGCACUCACACCAUUAUAUGACAACAGCAAGUGACAGAACGUACACUGUUGUCCAACUUUUAGUUAAAAAUCACCACCUGUAUGUGUACAUUUGUACAGAAAAGAAGCCAAGGCUGGCUGGUUAGCUCAGUUGGUUAGAACGUGGUACUGAUAACACCAAGGUCCAGGUUCAAUCCCUGUACUAGCCAGCUGCUAAAAAAAAUAAAGAAAAUAAAAGAACCCCAACAAGACAACAGAAAAGUGGCUAACGGUUGCUGGUAGGAUUAAAGUUGACUCUUUACUUUA